AAAAAAUAUCCCACGUGAACAGGUUAAUCUGGUCCUAUAGGCAGUACUGCCUGAGACAGGAGAAAGCCUUAAUUGUCUUAAACUCUUUUGUUGUCUUUCAGAGAACGUAAAUGAAGUAAUGGCAGCUAGUUUAGUGACAGAUUAUAAAUCUGCCGAAGAUAUAUUGCAGACUGGAUUUAGCGGAGGCGAACCUGAAAUCGAUCAGAUGUUCCAGCCUGGUCAGGAUGAGGAUUUUGCAGCGCUCGGAGUAGAUUUUGAUCUUUGCUCCGAUCUCCAGUUGGACGGGGUUGAUUUUCCUCUGGAUAUCUGGAGCACAGAGCAGAGCUCUCAUGAUGAUUCUUUAAAACUAGAAGAGUCUUUUGGCAUCGAUGAAGAUUUUAAUCAGAUGUUAAAUGAGUGGGAUAAUCAGCUGGACUCAUUACAGAACACAGAAGUAGAAGAUAUACUCCAAACGUCAGUUUCUAGUGUCAAUAAUACAGUUGAAGAUCAACCUGAACCAGUUCAACAACAACAGCAAACUGUUACGUUGAAAAAACCGAAUACGACGAAUACAUACCGCGGAGUAAUAACAUCAAACCAGUCCCGACAGAUUCAAAUAAGUUCUGCACUCCGAUCACCUAUUGUGACGCGUGGAGUUUGUUACACAAGAACAGGAGGGUUGGGAGUAACCCGCUCCGUCCAGAGCUCAGGGUUUGUUAACUCUUGUCCUAGAGUAUCUAUCUCUAAUCAGCUGACAGGAUCCAGUAGACAGAUUGGAGAAGAUUCUCCACUGCUAUGCACUCCUAUCAGUCCAAUAAGAAGUCCUGGGUCCUCAAAUGCUCCGGAUUUCUUUAUAGCUUCAACCCGUUCUACGGCGGAUGUAGUGAAAUCCAGCUAUAGUCGUCUGAUUAAUCAGUGUAGAACCUCUAUAAUCAGCACCAAUCCUGACAGUGCACAGUCUAGGUAUAGUGAGAAUAAGAACAACUCUCAUGUUAAGAUAAUAGCCUCGGUUUCGCCCAAAAGUGAUGGAACCUCAACGGCAAAGAUACUCUCGUCCAAUAGUAUUCGAGAGUCAUUGCCCAAAGAGCUCAUUGAUAAGAUCCGAGCGGCAAGUCAAGGACGGAAAACGAUUGCAAUAAUUGAGCCGAUUAAUCGAAAGAACGACAGUUCUCUGAACAUAGAUUCUUCGGUUUUUCGCGGAAAACAAACUUCAAAGUUCGGAACAGCAGCAGCGACUCUUGGUAAAUGGAGAAACGUUGGAAUAUUACCAUCCUACUCUAAUAACGUUUCCGACCAUGAUUACUGCUGUCCCAGUAAGACGAGUAAAUUUAGUAGGAAGUACCUGAACGCACAUAACAAGGUGAUGCGGCAGAUGGAGGAGAGUAUGAACCGUAGCAAGGGAGUCGCCAGGGUGGAGAGUCCUAUAGAGGAGGUUGAAACCAAGAAGGAUUCAGGUCUAGAGUCUUGUGAGAUGAGUGAUGCUAGUGAAGACGGGACAAUGUAUGACAAGCUGCCACGUUAUCUAACUAGUGUUUCUGUGCAAACCAUGGAGAGUAGAUCAGUCCAGGACGAUCACGGGUACAACCGUCUCCCAGCUUAUCUUCUCCGCCCCCAGCAGUCUUUGCUUAAAACAAAUAUAAGUAAAAGUGUUGGGGAAGAUCAGAAAAUAGUAGUUUCGUCCAUGGAUAGUUUUGACCUUAAACCUGAUAUUAGUGACACUAAACCUGAAUACAAUCUUGUAGACAAUGCUUCUCAAUAUAUGAAGCUAGAAGCUCCGGGUGAUGAUGGAGCUAAUUGUAAACCUGAGAUUUAUAUUAGUGAUGAAAGGACCCGGAUUGUGGUUCCAGCAUCUGAGAAAGUUGAAAAUUCUGUAGAUAAAACUCACCUUAAACGUCGGAGAGAUAGUUUUGAAAGUAGUUCCGACGAAACAGACAAUUCCUACAGGAGUUUUUAUAAAAGAAGGAGAUCCAACUAUCCUCGGGAACUCCGCCAUAGCUCUAGAGACAGGAGGAGAAGAUAUAGAGGAAGGUCUAGAAGUUGUAGCUCAUCUCCAGACAGAAGCAGUAGCAGAUCUGGCAGGAGAAUGAGGGAUUCUAACAGGGAUCAUGAGAGAUCAGGAAGACAUUAUGAUCCUCGUGAUCAAGACAGGCCUCGGAGACAUUCUAAUCCUCGAGAGCGAACCCACGAGCGUCGACAGAACCCGGAGCAUAAGAGUGAGGUUGAAGAGCGUCGUGUAAUCUAUGUCGGGGGUAUAGUUGAGGGAACCCUUAAAUCUGAUCUCAGGACGAGGUUUGAAACUUUCGGUCCCAUCGUCGAUAUUAGUGUUCACUUUCGAGAGCGCGGAGAUAAUUACGGUUUCCUAACCUUUCAAAACUCUGCGGAUGCGUACACAGCAAUAGAACGCGGAAACGAGAAUCCGUCCCAUCCUAAAUAUGAUCUUUGCUUCGGGGGACGUAGAACCUUUUGUAAAGAGGAUUAUUAUGAUAUGGAUGAUGUGGAGGGAGAGGAUGGAAAUGGUGGAGCUCCUGGGUUCGAUGAGUUGCUCCGGAGAGCGAGGAAAGAAUUCAGAAAAUGAUUAUAUUCCAAAUUUUAGAUUUCUUACUAUGCACAGUUUUCAAAUAUUCAUUCAGAAAAUUAAAUUUCAUUUGAGACCUGAGAUAUUUAUUAAUUUAAAUAUUUCUGGUUGAACUGAUAACAAGUAAAAGUAUUGAUACAUAUUGUAACUGAAGAACUGUAUUUUGACAUUAUUACUGAGAAAAUUGCUUGUCCUGGUAUCACAAAUAAAUAAAAAAUAUGAAAUAUUUAUCAAACAUAAAUUUAAUGUAAACUAAACCUCGAUCUCUUGCAUGUAACCUGCGCUGCUGAUAUUAUCUCCUGGAUUUUGCAAUCUUAUCAGUUCCUAUCAAAGUAUAUGUCUUAUGCUGUUAACAGUUUCCAAUGUGAAUUGAUGUAUAGUUAUGGUUAAAAUUAAAUUAUUAGUCACCAGA
rnacentral:misc_RNA from 1 species